UACGGAGGGUGCAAACGUUGCUCGGAAUCACUGGGCGUAAAGCGACCGCAGGCGGUCUGACAAGUCGGAUGUGAAAGCCCUGGGCUCAACUCAGGAACAGCAUUCGAAACUGGCAGACUUGAGUACGGGAGAGGGGGGUGGAAUUCCUGGUGUAGGGGUGAAAUUCGUUGAUAUCAGGAGGAACACCGGCGGCGAAGGCGGCCCCCUGGCCCGCAACUGACGCUCAUGGUCGAAAGCGUGGGUAGCAAACAGG
rnacentral:rRNA from 1 species